rnacentral:sRNA from 1 species
CCUUUGUUGUUAAAACUACCUUGUUGCUUUGGCGGGACCGCUCGGUCUCGAGCCGCUGGGGAUUCGUCCCAGGCGAGCGCCCGCCAGAGUUAAACCAAACUCUUGUUAUUAAACCGGUCGUCUGAGUUAAAAUUUUGAAUAAAUCAAAACUUUCAACAACGGAUCUCUUGGUUCUCGCAUCGAUGAAGAACGCAGCGAAAUGCGAUAAGUAAUGUGAAUUGCAGAAUUCAGUGAAUCAUCGAAUCUUUGAACGCACAUUGCGCCCCUUGGUAUUCCGAGGGGCAUGCCUGUUCGAGCGUCAUUACACCACUCAAGCUAUGCUUGGUAUUGGGUGCCGUCCUUAGUUGGGCGCGCCUUAAAGACCUCGGCGAGGCCACUCCGGCUUUAGGCGUAGUAGAAUUUAUUCGAACGUCUGUCAAAGGAGAGGAACUCUGCCGAUUGAAACCUUUUACGGCGAGUGAAGCGGCAACAGCUCAAAUUUGAAAGCUAGCCUUCGGGUUCGCAUUGUAAUUUGUAGAGGAUGCUUUGGGUAAAACGCCAGUCUAAGUUCCUUGGAACAGGACGUCAUAGAGGGUGAGAAUCCCGUAUGUGACUGGAAAUGUUAACCUAUGUAAAGCUCCUUCGACGAGUCGAGUUGUUUGGGAAUGCAGCUCUAAAUGGGAGGUAAAUUUCUUCUAAAGCUAAAUAUUGGCGAGAGACCGAUAGCGCACAAGUAGAGUGAUCGAAAGAUGAAAAGCACUUUGGAAAGAGAGUUAAAAAGCACGUGAAAUUGUUGAAAGGGAAGCGCUUGCAAUCAGACUUGUUUAAACUGUUCGGCCGGUCUUCUGACCGGUUUACUCAGUUUGGACAGGCCAGCAUCAGUUUCGGCGGCCGGAUAAAGGCUCUGGGAAUGUGGCCUCCACUUCGGUGGAGGUGUUAUAGCCCAGUGUGUAAUACGGCCAGCCGGGACUGAGGUCCGCGCUUCGGCUAGGAUGCUGGCGUAAUGGUUGUAAGCGACCCGUCUUGAAACACGGACCAAGGAGUCUAACAUCUAUGCGAGUGUUCGGGUGUCAAACCCCUGCGCGUAAUGAAAGUGAACGGAGGUGGGAACCGCAAGGUGCACCAUCGACCGAUCCUGAUGUCUUCGGAUGGAUUUGAGUAAGAGCAUA